UACGGGGGGGGGCAAGCGUUGUUCGGAAUUACUGGGCGUAAAGGGCUCGUAGGUGGCCAACUAAGUCAGACGUGAAAUCCCUCAGCUUAACUGGGGAACUGCGUCCGAUACUGGAUGGCUUGGAUUUGGGGAGAGGGAUGCGGAAUUCCAGGUGUAGCGGUGAAAUGCGUAGAUAUCUGGAGGAACACCGGUGGCGAAGGCGGCAUCCUGGACCAAUAUUGACGCUGAGGAGCGAAAGCCAGGGGAGCAAACGGG
rnacentral:rRNA from 1 species